rnacentral:rRNA from 1 species
CAGCCGCCGCGGGAAUACGUAGGUGGCAAGCGUUGUCCGGAAUUAUUGGGCGUAAAUGGCUCGCAGGCGGUUUCUUAAGUCUGAUGUGAAAGCCCCCGGCUCAACCGGGGAGGGUCAUUGGAAACUGGGAAACUUGAGUGCAGAAGAGGAGAGUGGAAUUCCACGUGUAGCGGUGAAAUGCGUAGAGAUGUGGAGGAACACCAGUGGCGAAGGCGACUCUCUGGUCUGUAACUGACGCUGAGGAGCGAAAGCGUGGGGAGCGAACAGGAUUAGAUACCCCAGUAGUCCCUGUCUCUUAUAA